rnacentral:sRNA from 1 species
GCCGGGCGCAGUGGCGCACACCUAUAAUCCCAGUGACUCGGGAGGCCGAGGCAGGAGGAUUGCAAGUUCAAAGCCAGCCUAGCAACCUAGCAAGACCCUGUCUCUG